rnacentral:lncRNA from 1 species
ACAUGCCUGUAAACCAAACACUUUGGGAGGCUGAAGUGGGUGGAUCACUUGAGCUCAGGAAUUCAAGACCACCCUGGGCAACUUAGCAAAAUCCUGUCUCUACGAAUAAAUAAAUAAAUAAAUAAAUAAACCCACGAAAAUUAGCCAGGUGUCGUGGUGUGGGCCUGUAGUCCCAGCUACCUGGGAGACUGAGGUGGAAGGAUCCCUUGAGCCAGAGAGGUUGAGGCUGCAGUGAGCUGUGAUCAUGCCACUGCACACCAGCCUGGGUGACAGAGUGAGAGCCUGUUUAAAAAAAUUUUUUUUUCAAGAAAAUAGAUGAAAAGACAGAGAAUUUUGCCAGAUGUAUAAUCUUCCUUCAGAGAGUAUUUACUCUUUCUUCUGCCAGACAGAUUCAGGGCUGCUUGCCUCAGUCCAAUCAGGGAUUGAACUGAGUCAAGGCAAAGUUGCAGUCUUGGUAAAGCUAUAUUUAUCUUUGGUUCACCUCUGCUUCUAAUCUACGACCUUCUAAAGCUGAGAGUUUGAUGUUUGCGCCAGGGUUCCUCUUCCUGGAAGGUUUUGAACUCCAAUCUUUGUUUCCUCAGCACACUGAGUCUGUCAGAAGUCCACUCUGCUUUUCAGGCUUUCUGGCGAGCCUCUUAGCCUCCUUCCCUCUUUCUCCUUCCCUUCAGAGUUUGGCAAAUAUCUUGAGUGGAAAAUGAGCUGAGCGUUAGAUUCAGUUUUCCACAUACACCCUCCUCACCAGGAUAUUGACUUCUGAAUUCUUAAGUUUUCUUCUUCUCAGCUCUAUGAGGCCAUCGAUAGCUCUAUCAGUGCUGUUGGCCUUCUUCCCAGGCAACACUCAGCUUCUCUGCUUUUUGCUUUCCCAGAAUCAGCAAACACAUCCAGGUAAGAAAAAAAAAGAAAAAAAUAGCUGCAGUAUGUCAGCUCAACCUGACUAUAAAGUCCUACUUGUUUAAGUAGCUCUUUAAUGCCUUUAAAUGACUUUUUUUGGAUUUUUUUCCCGCAUUUUUAGUUGGCCUGUGUGUUAUUAUUGAUCUGCCUCAAAGCUCCUCUCACAUUCAGAAGUGGAAGUCCAUCAGAUCUUUGAUUCUCUCUGUAUAGUUUCUGCUUAUUUCAAGCCCUGGUUGUCUCAGAAACUCUCUAAUGUCUUCAAAAAAGUUUGGGGGUAUUUUUUGAUGGUUUCUAAUUAUUCUCAUCAGGAACAUUAGUUUAUGGCAAGUUACUUUGUCAUACCUUACCUGUAUCUGAAAUGAAAUAACUUGUAUAAAGCAUUUAGUCCAGUGUCUCAUCCUAUUCUAAGAAGAAGGGAAUAAGUAUACUUUACUAUCAUAAAAAUUGAAGAGUAUAACUAGGCUGGUAGCCUGGCAGGAAAAUUAUUUCACCUCUGCUCUCUGAGAGUAUUCUAGGGAUUAUUCUAGUACCUAAAGAAGUGUUUGAUAGCAUCCUCAAAGUUACACCUUGUAAAACAUGACCAAGAUGACUUUGGCCUUUAAAAUUUAAAAUUAAAGUCUAGAUUGCCUUCUCCCAAAUCCUCCCAGUACAAAAUAUCUAAAAAUGCUAGAUAAAAUGCUUUCUAAUUAUAUCUUUAGAAUUAUUGGCUGAGCUGGGAAGAGUAAGGAUGGCCUUAAAGGCCUUCUCUGCCCUCCUAAAUGAAAAGCAAAAGCAGGUCUUUAGAGAGGUAAAUGUGUAUUGAAGCUAGCACCUGUCCUGAAGUUAUUUGCUAAUCCCCAGGAUACCAACAUUUGUUUUUAACAGCUAUGACUGCUAAGGGGACAGAAGACAAAGGAUUAGGGCCCAUUAAAGUGUGUGGGUGGAUUGGGAGUGUCACAGUUAAUAUCUAGUAUAGCUAAGACCUAGAAAGGAUACACUCUCAGUAAGAAAAUAACUUUUACAGAGAAAUUCAGCUAGGAAAGAUGCCUGUCUCAACAUUAGCUUUAGAUGUUAGGUGAGUGCAAAAGUAAUUGUGGUUUUCGCAUUGUUGGGAUUUACCGUUUGAUAUUGGAAUACAUGCUUAAAUAAAUGUGGUUAUGUUACA